GAGAAAGGGGGCUAGGGUUUGGUUUGUGCU
rnacentral:piRNA from 1 species